AUAUAUGUUGACAUAUCGGGUUUUUUUAUCACACAAACUAACAAAACGUUAAUUUUCAAAGAAGAAAUACAAUGUCAACCUCUAGAUUUGCCUUUUUUUGUAUCAUCCUCGUUUUUCUUGGUAGUUUUCAUGAAAGUGCUAAAUUCAAAGUUGAUGCUGCUAGGGCACCAUAUUGCUACAGAGGACCAAAGUCUGAUUGGUGCUGCAUCACAAAACCGAUGGACAGCUGCCGCGGCACCAGAAAGGAAUGUGAUGCCAAUUGUAAUCCCAAACGCCGUCUUUGAAUUUUCCAGAAGAAAAGUUCUAUAAUUAUAUAUUCACAUGCUUUCGUACUUCUAUUAUUCUAAUUUUAAAUAAUAAAACUAGGUGUUAACAUGCGCAACCACGCAGGUGUUUGUUUUCAUUUUUAAUAUACAUAUUUUUUUACAU